UUCUUAUAAUAGUUCACAUCCUUCACUUGUGGAACUCCAAGGGAGGGUCCAGAUGAAGCUGGAACUGCAGGUGGAGGAACCUGUGCAUUUGAGAGAUACCCUGGUCCAACCCCAUUUGGUUGAGCAUAAAAGGAUCCACUUGAAGUAGCAGUAAACGAUGAAGGCGUGUUGGUCUCCGUUCUAUUCAUGUGCAAAUAAGAUGAUUCUGAUAAAGUUGGAGGAGGAGGAGGAGGAGGAGGAACGUCUGAUGAAGGGACAAAAGAUGCAGAUGACUUAGGGAUGCUCUGCACAUUGGAGGCAGCUCCAUAAUCUAGAAUCAACUUCUCAAUCAAUUUAGGGUUGUUGAGAAUUUUAAUGAGCAGAUC
rnacentral:misc_RNA from 1 species